rnacentral:rRNA from 1 species
UACAGAGGGUGCGAGCGUUAAUCGGAAUUACUGGGCGUAAAGCGUGCGUAGACGGUUAUUUAAGUCGGGUGUGAAAGCCCCGGGCUCAACCUGGGAAUUGCAUUCGAGACUGAAUAGCUAGGGUACGGUAGAGGGAAGUGGAAUUUCCGGUGUAGCGGUGAAAUGCGUAGAUAUCGGAAGGAACAUCAGUGGCGAAAGCGACUUCCCGGACCAGUACCGACGUUCAGGCACGAAAGCGUGGGGAGCAAACAGG